rnacentral:rRNA from 1 species
GUGUCAGCCGCCGCGGUAAUACGGAGGAUGCGAGCGUUAUCCGGAUUUAUUGGGUUUAAAGGGUGCGUAGGCGGAUUAAUAAGUCAGUGGUGAAAACCUGCAGCUUAACUGUAGAAUUGCCAUUGAUACUGUUAGUCUUGAGUACGGUCAAGGUAGGCGGAAUGUGUAAUGUAGCGGUGAAAUGCUUAGAUAUUACACAGAACACCGAUUGCGAAGGCAGCUUACUGGGCCAUUACUGACGCUGAGGCACGAAAGCGUGGGGAGCGAACAGGAUUAGAUACCCUGGUAGUCCACGCCGUAAACGAUGAUCACUCGCUGUUGGCGAUACACAGUCAGCGGCUAAGCAAAAGCAUUAAGUGAUCCACCUGGGGAGUACGGCCGCAAGGCUGAAACUUAAAUGAAUUGACGGGG